UUUGACAAUUUACUUCAUCUAAAUCUCAAUCUUUUGCGGUUCAACUCCAAUUUUAUUAUGAGCCUACUUCAAAUAUGUCAUUCACUUCAAGUUCUCAUCAUUCAAAAUGACAACGAGGUUUCUAAUGACAAGGAGGAACAACCAUCUUUAUUAAAAUGGGCCGCAAAACCGAGUGUUCCUAGUUGUCUUGAAUUGCACCUGAACUUUAUUCAAUUCAAAGGAUAUCGAGGAUUUACAGAUGAAUUGUACUUUGUUGAAUAUAUUUUGCAAAAAGGAUGUGUUUUGAAAACAAUGAUUAUCACUGAUAUUUCAACGGACCUAAAGGAGAAAUUCAAUACUCGCAAAAGAUUAUCUAAUGUCCCAAGGGCCUCCACAGUAUGCCAACUUACAUUUGACUGAAUUAUCUCUCUAAGGACUAACUGAUUAUUUGGAGAAUUAACCUACACUAUGAUGGAUAAGGAUCUAUCACUGGCG